GACGAACGCUGGCGGCGUGCUUAAUACAUGCAAGUCGAGCGGAAAGGCCCUGCUUUUGUGGGGUGCUCGAGUGGCGAACGGGUGAGUAACACACGAGUAACCUGCCCUUGACUUUGGGAUAACUUCAGGAAACAGGGGAUAAUACCGGAUAGGAACUCCUGCUGCAUGGUGGGGGUUGGUAAGUUUGGGCGGUUGGGGAUCGACUGGCGGCUUAUCAGCUUGUUGGUGGGGUAGUGGCUGACGAAGGCUUUGACGGGUAGCCGGCAUUGGAGCUGUACCGGGGACAAUGCGCCUACGGGAGGGAGCAGUAGCGAACCGUAGGCAGCAGGCGGGAAUAUGGCGCAGCGGCGCCGAGUGAGUGAUGGCGGCGUUCGGUGCGGAAAGCUGUGUUUCGGGUGAUGAACCACUGUGUACUGAGCCGAAGCGGUAGUGACGGUAACGGGUAAGAAAGCACCGGCUAACUACGUG
rnacentral:rRNA from 1 species